rnacentral:rRNA from 1 species
GACGAACGCUGGCGGCGUGCUUAACACAUGCAAGUCGAACGGAAAGGCCUCUUUCGGGGGGUACUCGAGUGGCGAACGGGUGAGUAACACGUGAGUAACCUGCCCUUGACUUUGGGAUAACUUCAGGAAACUGGGGCUAAUACCGGAUAGGAGCUCCUGCUGCAUGGUGGGGGUUGGAAAGUUUCGGCGGUUGGGGAUGGACUCGCGGCUUAUCAGCUUGUUGGUGGGGUAGUGGCUUACCAAGGCUUUGACGGGUAGCCGGCCUGAGAGGGUGACCGGCCACAUUGGGACUGAGAUACGGCCCAGACUCCUACUGGAGGCAGCAGUGGGGAAUAUUGCACAAUGGGUGGAAGCCUGAUGCAGCAACGCCGUGUGCGGGAUGACGGCCUUCGGGUUGUAAACCGCUUUCGCUCAUGACGAAGCUUUGUGUGACGGUAGUGGGUAAAGAAGCACCGGCUAACUACGUG